UAUUGCACAAUGGGCGAAAGCCUGAUGCAGCGACGCCGCGUGGAGGAUGAAGGUCUUCGGAUUGUAAACUUCUGUUAAGUGGGAAGAAAAAAGCAUUCUUAAUACGAAUGCAGAUGACGGUACAACUAGAGAAAGCACCGGCUAACUUCGUGCCAGCAGCCGCGGUAAUACGAAGGGUGCAAGCGUUAUUCGGAUUGACUGGGCGUAAAGUGUGUGUAGACGGUGUAUUAAGUCUGUUGUUAAAUUCCCUGGCUCAACUAGGGGCAAGCAGUGGAUACUAAUACGCUAGAGGAUGGGAGAGAGAAGUGGAAUUCUCGGAGUAGCGGUAAAAUGCGUAGAUCUCGAGAGGAACACCAAUGGCGAAGGCAGCUUCUUGGUCCAUUUCUGACGUUGAGACACGAAAGCGUGGGGAGCAAACAG
rnacentral:rRNA from 1 species